rnacentral:snoRNA from 1 species
AACCCAUGGUGAGAGAACCUUUUCAAUAAGUCUUUCUAUCUCUCCCAUACAUCAUAAAGUGUUUCUAAAUCCAUCUGCACAAAAGAAGAUAUAUUAUUCCUCAAUUU